GGUCCUGUAGUGUAAUUGGCUAACACUUCUCACUUGCACUGAGACAUUGGGGUUCAAGUCCCACAGGUAUCCA
rnacentral:tRNA from 1 species